rnacentral:misc_RNA from 1 species
UUUCCGUAGGUGAACCUGCGGAAGGAUCAUUAUUGGAUUUUGAAACUUCAGGCUGCUGCUGGCUCUCCUCGGAGGGCAUGUGCACGCUUGUUGUCCAUUAUUUCUCCCACUGUGCACAAAUUGUAGACCUUUCAGUAGGCCUAUGUUGUUUUUCACAAUCUCUGAAUGUAAUAGAAUGGUUUUGAAUCUUGGGAAAUAAAAUACAACUUUCAGCAACGGAUCUCUUGGCUCUC